GAUGAACGCUGGCGGCGUGCCUAAUACAUGCAAGUCGAGCGAACGGACGAGAAGCUUGCUUUUCUGAUGUUAGCGGCGGACGGGUGAGUAACACGUGGAUAACCUACCUAUAAGACUGGGAUAACUUCGGGAAACCGGAGCUAAUACCGGAUAAUAUUUUGAACCUCAUGGUUCAAAAGUGAAAGACGUUCUUGCUGUCACUUAUAGAUGGAUCCGCGCUGCAUUAGCUAGUUGGUAAGGUAACGGCUUACCAAGGCAACGAUGCAUAGCCGACGUGAGAGGGGGAUAGGCCACACGGGAACUGAGACACGGACCAGAGGCCUACGGGAGGAAGCAGUAGGGAAUGUUAGGGAAUGGGCGAAAGGGUGACGGAGCAAAGGCGAGUGAGAGAAGAAGGUCUUCGGAUCGGAAAACUCUGUUAUUAGGGAAGAACAUAUGUGUAAGUAACAGUGAAGAUAUUGACGGUAACUAAUCAGAAAGCAACGGCUAACUACGUG
rnacentral:rRNA from 1 species